AUGCCUAUUUACACAGUUCCUGCAACAAGUUCUUGUGAAGCACAAUGUGCUACCACUUCGCAGAAGACUUCUUCACAGAAUACCUUGUCUGGGCAGCAAUUGAAAUCACAGGUAUCAGGAGAAGAAAAGGAUAGUCUGCUUUCAUGUUCACAGAAUAAGACUGAGGAAAUAAAUAGGACUUAUGUGAUUUCAGCCUGUAAAAAAGUGAGUGACCCAUCAGCUACAUUUAAACUUGAAAGCAGAUUAACACUUAAGAGAAGACCUGGAACAGGAGAAAAAUCAGUGUCCAGUAGUGAACAAGUGCAUACAAACACAACACAGGGCGUGGAAAAUACACAAAUGGGCAAAAAACUUGCUCUGCAGAGACGUGUAAGGACUGGCUCCAUAGAGAACAGUAAAAUCAAUCAGAAUACUGUGCCUGGAAAAGAAAAUGAUGACUCUGCUGCACAAAGACAUUACAAGAUUGCACUUCUGCCAAGUAUUAAUGAUACUCAUGAUAAUAAACUAAGCUUUAAGUCAGCUGAGGGUCAGUCAAGUACGAAGUUGCAGUGUAACCUGAACAGCAAGGAUUCCUUUGGCUUUGCGGAUGGUAUGUGUGAAAAUGAUAGAUGCACGCGUUUAAAAUACAGGACAAGUGCUGCUGACACAAGAUUGCAAAAUGAAGUUCCUAAGUCAGAAAAAUUAGUUGCCUCCAAAGAUAUUAAUAGGAUAUCGGGAGAACAACUGAAUGAAAAAGGUCGUAUAAAUAAUCUAGCUGGAAAACAAAGGUCGCAACACUUCAUGGUAAAGCAAAACAGUUUGGAAAGACCAAGGACACCAAUAAAAGGUUCAACAGAAAGGUUUCAGCUUGCACCAAAGAACGGUAUUUCUCAGGAUCAACCAUCUCCGGCUACUUCAAAUAAACAAAUUACUCAUCUUCAAAUUCUUGCUGAAAAGAAAACCAGUGUCUCCAGCUCUCUUUCUGUGAGUACAAGUUCAAAACAAAGAGAGAACAGAGAAACUCUGGCUGAGAGCAAUAGCACUGAGAAAGAUGUUUUCAAAGUGGAAAACAGCAAAGUGACUGUAGCUGUGCGUGUACGGCCUUUCAGUAUCAGAGAGAAAGAUGAAAACUCGCUCCCUGUAAUCUCCAUGAGUGGUUCAGAGACAGCGGUACGAAAUCCAGCCACCAACCAAGUUUACAGCUUCAAUUACGACUUCUCUUUCUGGUCUUUUGACAAACGUCAUCCUAACUUUGCAAGUCAAGCGAUGAUUUAUAAAACUUUAGCAGUGCCACUCCUAGAAAGAGCUUUUGAGGGAUAUAACACUUGUCUUUUUGCUUAUGGGCAGACUGGUUCUGGAAAAUCAUACACGAUGAUGGGAUUCGAUGAAGACCGAGGGAUAAUUCCAAGACUUUGUGAAGAUCUUUUUACUCGAAUAGCACAAAUGGACAAACAACAGAUUUUGUAUCAUCUUGAAAUGAGCUUUUUUGAAGUAUACAAUGAGAAAAUUCAUGACUUACUUGUCUUUAAAGCUGAAAGUGGACAGAAGAAACAACCACUUCGUGUAAGAGAACAUCCAGUGUUGGGACCGUAUGUGGAAGGCCUGACAGUGAAUGUUGUCAGUUCUUACUCCGAUAUCCAGAGUUGGCUUGAACUAGGAAAUAAGCAGAGAGCAACAGCUGCUACAGUAAUGAAUGACAAGAGUUCUAGAUCUCAUUCUGUCUUCACCCUUGUCAUGACACAAACCAAGGUAGAAUUUGUGGAUGAAGAACGUGAUCAUAGGCUUAGCAGUCACAUAAAUCUGAUUGAUCUAGCUGGCAGUGAAUGCUGCUCGACAGCUCAGACCACUGGAGAAAGGCUGAAGGAAGGUGUGAGUAUCAAUAAAUCACUGUUAACGCUUGGAAAGGUUAUUUCUGCACUCUCCAAACAAUCUCGAAAUGGAAAGAAAACUUUCAUUCCUUACCGGGAAUCUGUCCUUACUUGGUUGUUAAAGGAAAGUCUGGGUGGAAAUUCACAAACUGCUAUGAUUGCCACAAUAAGUCCAGCUGCUAGCAGCACAGAAGAAACACUCAGCACUCUUCGCUAUGCAAAACAGGCUUGUUCAAUUAUCAACAUUGCUAAAGUAAAUGAAGAUGUGAAUGCCAAACUAAUCAGAGAAUUGAAAGCUGAAAUUGAAAAACUGAAGGCAGCUCAGAGAAGUGCUCUGAACACCGAUCCUGAAAAAUACAGACGUUAUUUGCAGGAAAUAACAUCUCUAAGGGUAAAAUUGCACCAGCAGGAGAGGGACAUGGCAGAGAUACAAAGGGCCUGGAAAGAAAAAUUUGAACAAGCCGAAAAAAGGAAAUUAGAAGAUAUAAAAGAAUUGCAGAAAGCAGGAAUUGCAUUCAAAAUGGACAAUCGUUUACCAAACCUUGUCAAUCUUAAUGAAGAUCCUCAGCUUUCUGAGGUGCUGUUGUAUAUGAUCAAAGAAGGAGAAACUACAGUUGGAAGGUAUACACCAAAUGCGAAACAUGAUAUCCAGCUUUCCGGAGUGCUAAUUGCUGAUGACCAUUGUGUUAUAAAAAAUACUGAUGGCAAAGUGAGUAUUAUUCCACUGAGAGAAGCAAAGACAUAUGUAAAUGGGAAAUGCAUUUUAGACCCAACAGUUCUGCAUCAUGGUGAUAGAGUGAUCCUUGGGGGAGAUCAUUAUUUCAGGUUUAACCAUCCAGUAGAAGUUCAGAAAGUUAAAGGGUCAUCCUGUGGGAGAAAGUUUUUGCGUGAUGAUCCAAAAGAUUUUGAAUUUGCAAAGAAUGAACUGCUUAUUGCACAAAGAACACAGCUUGAGUCAGAAAUCGAAGAGGCACGACUUAAAGCCAAGGAAGAAAUGAUGCAAAGUGUCCAAAUUGCAAAAGAGAUGGUUCAGCAAGAACUGACCUCACAAAAAGAAGCUUAUGAAAGCAAAAUAAAAUCACUGGAAGCAGAGGUGAGAGAAGAAUCUCGUAAGAAGCAAAUCCAAGAACUGAAUAAUCAAAAAGCUGCAACUAAAAUACAGGAGCUUGAGAAGGCAAAGCAAAAUCUUGAGCUGGAGCUACACUUCAAUAAAAAGCGUUUAGAAAUGGAGACCUUAGCUACCAAGCAGGCUCUAGAAGAUCACACUAUUCAUCAUGCAAGGAUACUUGAAGCUCUGGAAGCUGAGAAGCAGAAGAUUGUUGAAGAAAUACACACCCUUCAGAAGAAUCGUGGAAGUGGGAAUGCAACUGUGACUAUUCCACUUAACUGGAAUUCUCUGAAGUUAUCUGUGAUGAUCAAAGAGGCCAACACCAUCAGUAAACAAUUAGGAAAAAACACUGUUUUCUACAGGAACGACAAAAUUGAUGAUAAAACAGGAACAGUGUCUUCUGUUCAGGUGCAGGUUCGUAACAUCAAACUGGGAAUAACAACUUUCUGGAGCCUGGAGAAAUUUGAAUGCAAACUAGCAGCAAUGAAAGAACUCUAUGAGAGUAACGACAGCAGUAAAAGUGCUGAUGUAUUUUAUGACCCUGCUGAUGAGUGGGAACCUGACCUUUCAGGUGCCUCAGUUUCCAGUCUUUCCAGAAGAAGAAGUAGGAGUUUCAUGAAGAACAAGAGAAUUUCUGGAUGUUUGUCUGAGAUAAAUUUGAAACCAAUUCAGAAUAUGCAGUCUUCCUAUAUAUCAGGUUCACAGAACAAGUCCAGCACAUGUCCAAGCCAUUCUGAAUUGUUUCUUCCUGGAAUUUGCAAAGAAUCUAUAAGUUCAGCUUUAGAUCUACUGGAACAGAAUCAUGAAGGAGGACAGAACAUAGCAGAUAGUCUCCUGACUAAUUUGUUUAUCAUUUUCUCUGGAGCUUCUGCCAUUUCAAAAGCCUAUGAACAACAAGACGAAGAAUGUCAAGAAAACUUUUUCUCUCUUGAUCGUGCUGCUCAGUCCUACAGCAUCAGAAUUAUAUCUGCUUUUGACCAACUUGUGGUUCUAACUAAGCUGUGGCUUGACAAUGUCCAAAAGUGCUCUGGAUCCGUAAAAGUUGAUGAAGAAAUAAAAGAAGAAGUAAAGAACUUGGGAGGUUAUUUACAGCUACUGUUGCAGGGAUGUUCUUCAGAUAUAUCCUCGAUGGUAACAGAAGCAUGGAGCAAAGUAAACCAAACCAUAAAACAAACAAUGAAAUAUAUAGGACACUUGGCAGUAAUCACAAGAGCUGAUAUUUCCUUUUCUGAAGAGAACAUUCCUGCAACUAGUCCACAGUACUUCGUACUUGCCAUUUCUGAUGGAGUAGCCUCAGGGCUGGAGUUUCUCAUUGAUACUGUAGAAGAAAAAGCAAGAAUGGUGCAGAAAGAACUCAUGAAACAGUAUCCACAAAAUGAGAUUCAAAAUCGAAUAAAGGAUAACGUUGUGGCAUUAGCCAGUUUCCUUGAAAAUAACGUCUCUUAUUGCAGAAAGAAAGAAAUAGAAUCUCAGUUACUAGAAGAAGAAUCUCUAUAUCAGGAAAUAAAGAAAAGAACUAACAUUGCUGUGAAGUAUUUGGAAUUGGAGCAGUGCCUUGCUGAGGUCUAUCAAAUUGCUUCUUCUACAUUACAAGGGUCAUACAGAAACACAAACCCUCUCAGGAGCUUUGCAGAAAAGAUUUGUGUCAUAGCUGGAUAUUUUAAUAACUAUUUCAAGUUAUUUGUCGUGUCUUCUACUUCUGCCAACAAUCCUAUCCAGAAAACACCCUUGCCUUUUAUGAACUUGGAUGAAUUGGACUCUCUGGUUGAUUCCCUUAUUAAGAAUUUUGAACUUGAACAAGGACAGCCAUCGUUGAAAUAUCAAACUCUUUGUAAUGAAACUAUUGAGUCUCGAGGAGAACAGGUUGAAAUGAGUGAAAUUGAACUUGCUUGGAAAGAGAAGGGAAUUUCAAAACACACGCGUAAACUCCAGUCUUCACCCCCGUUUCCUGCAGAGCUUUCACCUGGUAGAAUAGAGUGGGUAUAAAAUGCUGUUAUCAAGAAAUACAUGAAAGGAAGGCAACAUGUCACAAAAAGCUAAAAUUUAUGCCUAAUAUUACAGGGAAAACUACAGAAGAGAGAGAUGGUAAAAGUAUUUUACAACCUUAUUUGAGGAAUGCUUUUUUUAGUGGUUUUGUAGUCCGUUGAAAAAUCUGGGCUUAAAGUACCAGUGAUGAUGCUCUUCAACUCAGUCUGAAGUAAGUUCAUGUUGAGUGUUGUUGCUAGUGAAUUCUUUUGAUUGCUCAAACCACUUUCAGUACUUUUCAUAGUGGAUUAGAAGGGUAGCUCUUUCUGAAUAAUACGUAAGUCAUCCCAUGAAGUUGUAGAGAACUUUCCCAAUCAACUACUUUCUUGUGUUUUUUACUCUAGUCAUCAUUUAACCUUUUACCUUUAGUUUGCUGGCUGAAGCUAGUGAAAAUUAACGGCAAGGAUGAAAAUGAAUUUGAAUUUUUAUUCUUUAAUACUGAGUCCUAAGAGGCCUGGACCUACCACUUUUUACUUCCAACAGUGCUGAGAAAUUCAUAAGCUAAAACCCAAGCUUUUUCCUAUAUAUCAAAGCUUCCAAGCCAGAUAUUCAUAGCUAUCAUCUUUCCUUCUAGGGAAGCUGUUCAACACCUUGAGACUUCGGUCUUUGAGAACAUGUCAGGCUCUUAGAACUAUUUUCUGUGAAAAGACUACAGUAAAGAGAGUGAAUCAUCCUUUUCCUUUGAGAACUUUCACACUAUAGUUGUAACUGAUGCUGUUAUGCAGUGAUAUUGUGAUUUCUGAUUUGAAACAAACAGGGAAAGGUAGUUAUGCUGAACCAGGAACCAGCAUACAUUUUUUUUCAAGACUAAUAUACCUUACUACUCUGUAAAAGAAAAAAAAAAAAAAAGUCUUCUACUGCAGACCUGCCAUCAAAAAUAUUCAACGAUUUUUAUUGCAGCUAAUAAUUUCCUUCUGACAGGAGGUGUGAUGUUGCUUAAUUGCUUUCCUACUACUCAAGGCUUAACAGAGAAUAUUCAAUUGUUAAGAUUUUUAUGCUUUUCAAGUGAAGAGAAAGCUGGGAUAUUUCUACUUCUGUAAAUGUAUUAUUUUGUAUUUGGCUGAAGGUUUUAGAAACAUAACUCCUUCUUCUGAAUCAUGUAUCUAAGCACAAGCAUUGUUAAGAGAAAAACUACAUCAUGUAACUGGUCACCAGUUUUUGUAACUUUAAGUGUUAAUUCCUUGUCGGUUUUCUUCUGUAUUCAGUUGUUUUUGAGACCUUCCUUCAUCACCAAGGGUAUUGUUUCCUUGCUGAAAGUAAUGUAGUGUAAAAUUCUUCAAAAUUAGUAAGAGGUGUUUUCUGUAGUAAGCUUACAAGUGAAACAGAACAACAAAAAAGAUUUCUUCACCUUAGUUUCUUUCCUCUAUUAAGAUGCUUAACAGCACGCAUUUAGAGGCUGAAUACUGAUAAGCUAAUCUACACCUAUUAAUGGCACAGUACUCAAUCCCUUCCAAAUUUUGCUGAGAAAUGUAAUGGGUUUAUGUCAAGUCCCCAUUGCAAAAUUAUAUGUGUUACUGAUGUUCUACCUACCCAGAUGAUUAAUUAUGUUUGUUUUUGUUCUUGUAUUUAAUGAGAAGCAUUGCUCAGAAAACAUUGUGGGUUUUGUAGUUAUAUGUGUUGUUAUGAGAAUAUUUUUAUCUAUUUGUUUUUUCCUUUCUAAAACUGAAAGCCAAGUUCUUCGCAAACUUGAAACUCAAACUGGCUUUUAGUUUUUAGCCUUUCUGAAACUCAGGAGAAAGAAACCAUGCAAAUAAACAGGUUUCUGAUAGAGUUUUAACUGAGGUGUUGAAUGGGCACCCUUAAUCAUAUCAAAUUUAGCUUUUGCAGCAUGAGUGAAAAUGUUGCAAAUAGCUUCCUGCUGUUGGGUGUUUGGGUUUUGUGGGGGGGUUGUUUGUUUGUUUGUUUUGUCUCCAUGCUGACUAAUCAUGUCUAAUCAGUCAACUAAUCUGUCUCAUUCAUGUUGUUAAUACUAUAUUCAUAUUUUAGAGCAAUAUGUUAACCCAGCCUACUUCUGCUAGUGUUUUCUUCAGCUUGGUGCCCUUGUUACAGUUAUACAUCACUGAAGUACUUCAUUCUUACGAUAUAUAUGGUGACUAUACAUCAUCAGAGCAAGCUAGUGCUCUCAUAACAUAUUGCAUUAAUACAUCAACAAGCCUAGCUGAGGCUCCGGUAAUCUAUUGGUGUAAUAUACCAAAAGGUAAAGUAUAUUUAUAACUAUAGCCUAGUCUUAUCUAUAAAUUAUGAAUGUCAAGGAAUUUGGAUCAUAGCAGGCAGAUUUAGGGAUGGAUGGAUUUGAAUGGUACGUUAUUUUACUGGUCUUUCCGAGGAGCUGGAUAUAGGUGUGGGUUAAGCCCGGGACGGCAGAGGAACUGACAUGGCUGAAGACAGUAUCUGUAUCGCCUGCAAGGCACAGUGGUGAAGUGGACUCUAAUCUUGCUGAGAUAAAGGGCUGUGCAAUACAGACCGGGUAUUUUCACCGUCUUGCAUUUUUGCAAAUCUGGCUGUAAUGUCAGAGUCUGGAUAGCUUCUGGCAGAUAGUGGUAAUAUACAGAAGAAUCUUCUUGUGAUACCACCUUUGGAGUAUCUUCUAAGCCAUAAACUAAUGCAGACACCAAAACAGUGCAAUUUAAAUAGAGUUUUUACUUUAGUAUUUGAUAAAGUUAAUUACUUUUGCAGGAAUAUAUGUUGGUGAUAUACAUUUCUCUGACAGGGGAAUUGAGAUGGGAGUGGGAUCACAGCCAGUAUUUAUUAAAACACCUCAUUUUAAUUAAGUGUUAAUGGAAUGAACGUGUUUACUUCCAGCAGAUAACUGCUCACACAGUACAUUAAGUUAUUCUUUCACACUUCACUUGCACCCACACAAAAAUCACUCACAGCUACAAGAUUGGAGCAAGAUCUGUGAGCUUCUGACUCUGAAGUAGAGGCUCAUGUUAGCUUACCCACAAGACUUUGCUGUGCUGUACCCCUCAGUGUGUAUUCUGCCUUUGUUGAGCUCACAUUUUCUAGUUACUCUUUCUCCAUCCGCAGCCAUAGAUACCAACAGAGCCCGUUCACAUAUGCUUGCUUAGAUGUUUUUUUUCUGGCUUUGGCUGAAGCUUAGUCACUGUAGUAGCUGAUGUCAUGCUUCUGAUAAAAGUACUAAUUUUGGUCUUGAAAGGUUUUCUCUGAGGUGCUCAAAUGUAUAGUCCUCAGUUCUGUGUCCCUGAAAGAAAAGCUGAUAGAACAGUCAGGAACAUGCAUGCUGUAGGAGUGGGAAGUGCUAUGGAGAAAUGUUUAGAGACCCAAAUGGGAUGUAAUGUUUACUGAAGGUUAUGGUGGCUUUACUUUUUGUAUGUAUCAAUAUAAUCUAUAAAUCAUGGGUUAUUUAUUGUGUUGGUUUUGUGUUGCCUUUUUUAUUCUUGUUUCCUUCCUUUAGUGUCCUUUCUUACUCAGGAAAAUAUUCCUCAGUCAUAUUUUGGGUAAAAUGUAAUUAAACUUUGUGUAUGUGAUGCAUGGGUUUUAUUGAUUAACAUAAAAGAAAAGGGGGGGGGCUUUGUUUUAAUUUUAAAGUGGUGAGGUGGGGUAUUCAGACUUUCGCACUCUAGUUUGAUUUGAAAAAAUGAAACUAAGAAAAAUCUAAUAAAUUAUCUUCAUGAUAGAAGUCACUUGAGAUUAAUAAGAAAUAAGUAUUUCUUCAGUUCGAUGUUUUAUUUCAAAAAUAAUAAUGCAUUAAGAAAAAUACAUAAUCAUUCUGAGAGUAUUGAUCUGCUACUUUGCUGCUUUUUACAACUUAGUCUCUAGUUUUAUUUGUUAAAUAGUAGGGAAAUAGGAUUAAAAUUCCACAUUUUAAGAUCAUUCAGCAUUAAUACAUGAGGUAAACUGCACAAAAACAUAAUGUAAAUUGAUUUUUGUUGUUGGAAUUGGUAAAGCCAUGGGAGUCUAACUGUGAUUAAGCACUAAACUGUUCAUUUUUAUCCCUAAUCAGGAAUAAGAAAAUCUUUAUUUCAGGUAAAGAUAACAGCCUGGGGAGAAAGUAUACCAUCAGACUACGGAUGCUGGAUUACUUGAGAAGCCUUCAGACAACUUUAGCCCAUCUUUAUUGAGACAUAUUGUAUGCAAAUGCACUUUUAGGAAAAGUACAUUCUAGGUAUGUUUUGUUUAAAGAACAUGUGCCAGUGUUAGAAAUCAAGGAUAAGUAAACUCUUCUGGUACUCACUGACUCAUGCAAAUACUCUGGAUGAAGAAAACAAACAAGCUGCAGUUUAGAUUUAAUUUGAUCUAAUAAUGGCAUCUGCAGGCAAAAGAGAAGACUACAUUCACCUCUGCAAAUACAAGCCAUUGGUUUUGGAUGGGAAAUUUCUGCUUAUUCUUCAUAUACUGUAAUAUGCUGUGAUUAGAUGAGUCCUGUCGCUUUGUUUGAUUUGUUUUAAAAUUAUUAUUUUAGAACAGCAUUUUAAUUACCUUCCUAGCUUUCAGUAGGAUCUGAGAUGGCUUAUGCAUUUUCCCAGGAAAGGGCUGUUUGUCUUUUUUAAGUCCUAAUAUUUUAUUUUUAUGUAUUUUUAUAAAAUCCUAUUUGCAAUAUUUUCUUUGUUUUCUAGUCUUUUUAGGACUUAGAGGCAGUACAAGUAACAAGAUGUGUUUACUCUUGAAUUUUUUUCAUGCCCUCUUUUUUGUUUGUUCUUUUUGUCUUGGUAUGUGUAUGUUCAUGACAGUAUUGGUUUCUAGACUUGGAGAUUGUGUAUAUAAUCUAAUAAAAAAUAACAUAAUUUGGUUAUUGCAGUGAAAACAGGACAACUGAAAAAGAAGUCCCCUGAGCUAACAUUUCAUCAACAGUGAGCACCAGACAACAUUAAAAAAUGUUAUUUCAGGUAUCUUUCAAUCUGAGUUAAUUUUGAAUAUCUCUAUUUAAUUAAAUGAAGUCUAAGUAAAUUAUAUUCUGGAAGAUUUAUAAAGAGUUGAGCGAAAGCAAUGAGAGUACCAGAAAAACUCAUGGUAGUCAUCUGUAAUUUAAAAAGAAGUCCGACCAACCGAAAAAAAACCCCUAACAACCCGUAAACAAACCUAAACACUUCUCUAUAUUCAUAUGGAGUUAAACUAUACUUGAUGUCUUUCAUACAGAAUCCCUAAGUCUAUGGCAAUCAUUACUUGAUGAUCAUCUUCACACAACUCUAGCAUCUUAAUAACAAAUACUUCACUUAAAUUGGUAUAGGCUGUUGUCUGAAUAGUUCAUUUAUUUUUUCUCAUACAGGUAUGUAUAGCACAGAGACAAGCCUCAAAGAUUAAAAAAAAAAUCAAACCAAACAAACAAAUUAAACAUGAUUACUUUGCUUUAUGUUAUUUAAAAAUACUUUGAAGUCUGGAUUUCUUGAAAUGUUAUUUGUAGUGAUUUAAAUAAAUGUCAAGAUACAGGUUUAAGUGUGUUUAACUGGUACAACACUGGUUUUGGUCUCACAGCCUACAUAACUAUUUGUAUGAUAUAUUGGUAUAAAACCCUCUAUUACUGAA